rnacentral:rRNA from 1 species
UACGAAGGGGGCUAGCGUUGCUCGGAAUGACUGGGCGUAAAGGGCGUGUAGGCGGUUUUGACAGUCAGAUGUGAAAUCCCCGGGCUUAACCUGGGAGCUGCAUUUGAGUCGUUAAGACUAGAGUGAGAGAGAGGGUUGUGGAAUUCCCAGUGUAGAGGUGAAAUUCGUAGAUAUUGGGAAGAACACCGGUGGCGAAGGCGGCAACCUGGCGCAUUACUGACGCUGAGGCGCGAAAGCGUGGGGAGGAAACAGG